UACGUAGGGGGCAAGCGUUGUCCGGAAUCAUUGGGCGUAAAGCGCGUGUAGGCGGCCCGAUAAGUCCGUUGUGAAAGUCAAAGGCUCAACCUUUGAACGCCGAUGGAUACUGCCGGGCUAGAGUCCGGAAGAGGCGAGUGGAAUUCCUGGUGUAGCGGUGGAAUGCGCAGAUAUCAGGAGGAACACCAAUUGCGAAGGCAGCUCGCUGGGACGUUACUGACGCUGAGACGCGAAAGCGUGGGGAGCAAACAGG
rnacentral:rRNA from 1 species